GGAGAGUUGACAGAGCGGCCGAAUGUACUGGUCUUGAAAACCAGCGUAGGUUUAUCCCUACCCAGGGUUCGAAUCCCUGACUCUCCGCCA
rnacentral:tRNA from 4 species